UUUGAGGAGUUUGAUCCUGUACCUAUUGCAAGUGCUUCCCUUGCUUAGGUUCAUGUUGCUCGAACUCAUCAGGGUCAAAAAGUUGCUGUGAAGGUGCAACAUAUGCACAUGACAGAUACUACAGAUGCAGAUUAUGCGACAGUGGAAUUGAUUGUCAACACGACAGUCUACCUAAGAAUGAAAAUGGGCUGCAAAUGAGCGAUAAGUCAAAUAUUGAGAGUGUACUUGGAAUAAGCUCUGUUCGUUUGCAUGGGUGGGGGCGUGAUCCGGUUAGUUCUAGUAGCACAAUGGGUGCUACUAAAAAUCAAAGUGUCUUGCUUACGAAGAUUUGGUGGAUGCUUACGAUGAGCUGGUGGAAGAACUUGGAACCAUGAAAGGUAAAUGCGCAAUUAUGGAACAAGCAUUGAUUGAGAAUAAUAUCAUGCCUCGUC
rnacentral:lncRNA from 1 species